rnacentral:rRNA from 1 species
CUAAUAGCGUAUAUUAAAGUUGUUGCAGUUAAAAAGCUCGUAGUUGAAUUUCGGGGUUAGCAGGUCGGUCGUGCCAUUGGUAUGAACUGGUCUCGCUGAUCCCUCCCUCUUGACGAACUGUGAUGCCAUUAAUUUGGUGUCGCAGGGAAUCAGGACUGUUACUUUGAAAAAAUUAGAGUGUUUAAAGCAGGCUCACGCUUGAAUACAUUAGCAUGGAAUAAUGAAAUAGGACGUUUGAUUCUAUUUUGUUGGUUUCUAGGAUCGACGUAAUGAUUAAUAGGGAUAGUUGGGGGCAUUAGUAUUCAAUUGUCAGAGGUGAAAUUCUUGGAUUUAUUGAAGACUAACUACUGCGAAAGCAUUUGCCAAGGAUGUUUUCAUUAAUCAAGAACGAAAGUUAGGGGAUCGAAGACGAUCAGAUACCGUCGUAGUCUUAACCAUAAACUAUGCCGACUAGGGAUCGGAUGAUGUUAAUUUUUUAAUGACUCAUUCGGCGCCUUAC